CAAAAUAUAGUUUGAUAAAACAUUUCAGUUACAAUGAGAAAAUUUCUUUUUAUAGAAUAUUUUGU
rnacentral:tRNA from 1 species